GUGAGUCAUCGAAUCUUUGAACGCACAUUGCACCCUCUGGUAUUCCAGAGGGUAUGCCUGUUCGAGCGUCAUUACAUUCCUCAAGCCUAGCUUGGUAUUGGAUGUCACCUUUGUGGUGCAUCUCAAAACUAGUGGCGGUGCCCUUCGGCCUCAAGCGUAGUAAUGCUCCUCGCUUUGGAGGUUUGGAUUUGUGCUUGCCAACAAAUCGUCAAAUUCUUUUGCAGUUGACCUCGGAUCAGGUAGGGAUACCCGCUGAACUUAAGCAUAUCAAUAAGCGGAGGA
rnacentral:misc_RNA from 1 species